CGGAUUGAAGGCUGAAAUUCGCCUUCAUGAAGCCGGAAUUGCUAGUAAUGGCAGGUCAGCAUACUGCCGUGAAUACGUUCCCGGGCCCUUGUACACACCGCCCGUCACACCAUGAGAGUUGGGAAUACCCGAAGCCUGUGAGCUAACUUUUAGAGGCAGCAGUCGAAGGUAGAAUCAAUGAUUGGGGUGAAGUCGUAACAAGGUAGC
rnacentral:rRNA from 1 species